rnacentral:rRNA from 1 species
UACGGAGGGGGCUAGCGUUGUUGGGAAUUACUGGGCGUAAAGCGCACGUAGGCGGCUUUGUAAGUUAGAGGUGAAAGCCCAGGGCUCAAACCUGGAAUUGCCUUUAAGACUGCAUCGCUUGAAUCAUGGAGAGGUGAGUGGAAUUCCGAGUGUAGAGGUGAAAUUCGUAGAUAUUCGGAAGAACACCAGUGGCGAAGGCGACUCACUGGACAUGUAUUGACGCUGAGGUGCGAAAGCGUGGGGAGCAAACAGG